AUACGGAGGGGGUUAGCGUUGUUCGGAAUUACUGGGCGUAAAGCGCGCGUAGGCGGACUGGAAAGUUGGGGGUGAAAUCCCGGGGCUCAACCCCGGAACUGCCUCCAAAACUUCCAAUCUAGAGAUCGAGAGAGGUGAGUGGAAUUCCAAGUGUAGAGGUGAAAUUCGUAGAUAUUUGGAGGAACACCAGUGGCGAAGGCGGCUCACUGGCUCGAUACUGACGCUGAGGUGCGAAAGCGUGGGGAGCAAACAGGAUUAGAAACCCUAGUAGUCC
rnacentral:rRNA from 1 species